UCGAGUCAGGGAAUGGCUGGUUCCUUCCGAAAUAUCUCGCAGGAUAGUCUCGGCCAAGGAGGAUGAUGGGGUAGAGCGACUGAUUGGGUCUUUAGGGGCCGAAAGGCCUCGGGACCCUGUCAAACUCCGAAUCUGUCAUCACCGGAGAAGCCGGGAGGCGGGCAUCAGGGGUAAGCCCGGUGUCCGAAAGGGGGAUAACCCAGCCUCAUGUUAAGGUCCCAAAGUAUCGGCUAAGUGUGAAUACGAAACGUGGUCCAAGGCCAAAAACAACUGGAAGGUGGGCUCAGAAGCAGCCAUCCUUCAAAGAGUGCGUAACAGCUCACCAGUCUAGGUUUUGGGCGCGGAAAGUGGACGGGGCUAAGCCGAUCACCGAUACAUGAGCGCACGCGCCAAACGCGCGUGAUCGUGUAGGAAGGCGUCAUCCGUGGUGGGAAGCUCGGGCGUGAGCUCGGGUGGACCGCGGUUGAAUGAGGAUCCUGGUGCAAGUAGCAGCAAAGUGGGGUGAGAAUCCCUUACCGCCGUAGGGGCAAGGGUUCCUCUGGCAAUGUUCGUCAGCCGGGGGUUAGUCGGUCCUAAGUCGUCUCUUAACCGAAGACGACGAAAGGGAACACGGUUAAUAUUCCGUGACCUUGGUAGGAAUUGUGCGUGCGUUGACACACGCGGGUAGGCUCUCUUGGGCAGUCGCCCAAGUGACGGCCAUACGGGCGCUAAGAACCGUUACGGUGAGAGGCGUCCUAAGGGCUUGUCGGGGGCCUUUGCGGGCCUAGAGCCGAUCCCGAGUGUCCGUGAAAAGGCGCGCGCAGCCGCCUGCCUUGACCGUACCGAGAUCCGACACAGGUGCCCCUGGGUGAGAAGCCCAAGGCGUGUUGGCCAAUAAUCUUCGCGAGGGAACUCGGCAAAUUAGCGGCGUAACUUAGGGAGAAGCCGUGCCAGCCGUGGUGUUACCCAUACGGGUGCUUCGCCAUGUCUGGUCUCAGUGACGAGGGAGGUCCGACUGUUUAACAAAAACAUAUGUGACCGCAAGUCCGAAAGGAUGUGUAUGGUCGCUGAAGCCUGCCCAGUGUCGGUAUCUGAAAUCCGGGUCCAACCGGCCGAAGGACCGAUAAACGGCGGGGGUAACUAUGACCCUCUUAAGGUAGCGUAAUACCUUGUCGCUUAAUUGGCGACUUGCAUGAAGGCCCAACGAGACCUCUACUGUCCCCGCGAAGAAACCAGUGAAAGCGAGAAUACUGGCGCGCAGUCCAGUACGUUCCUCCUGAAAGCGAAGACCCCGUAGAGCUUUACUGCAGCUUGUCGUUGCUGUAUGGUUCUUGAUGUGUAGUGUAGGCGGGACCCGUCGAAGCGGUGGCGCAAGCUACCGUGGAGGGGACGAUGAAACACCGCCCUUUUCGAACCGUACGGCUUACCGCGAAGGCGGGACAUCGAUAGGUGGGCAGUUUGGGUGGGGCGCCACGCCCUCGAAAACAUAACAAGGGCGCCCAAUGGUCAGCUCAGGCAGGUCAGGAAUCUGCCGUGGAAUGUAAGGGUAAAAGCUGGCUUGACUCGGUGGGGCUCAAUGACCGACCGAGAUACGAAAGUAAGGCCUAACGAACCACCCAUGCUUCUUGAUGAGGCAGGGUGAUAACAGAAAAGUUACCUCGGGGAUAACUGAGUUGUCUCCAGCAAGAGCUCAUAUCGACCUGGAGGCUUGCUACUUCGAUGUCGUCUCUUCCUAUCCUGGUGGUGCAUGAGCUGCCAAGGGUGGGGUUGUUCGCCCAUUAAAAGGGAUCGUGAGAUGGGUUCAGACCGUCGUGAGACAGGUUUGUUGCUUUUUGGAGGAUCUGUAGGUGUCUGAGGGGAAAGUGCCUUUAGUACGAGAGGAACGGGGCAUUGGAGCCACUAGUC
rnacentral:rRNA from 1 species